rnacentral:rRNA from 1 species
UACGUAGGUGGCAAGCGUUAUCCGGAAUUAUUGGGCGUAAAGCGCGCGCAGGCGGUUUCUUAAGUCUGAUGUGAAAGCCCACGGCUCAACCGUGGAGGGUCAUUGGAAACUGGGGAACUUGAGUACAGAAGAGAAAAGCGGAAUUCCACGUGUAGCGGUGAAAUGCGUAGAGAUGUGGAGGAACACCAGUGGCGAAGGCGGCUUUUUGGUCUGUAACUGACGCUGAGGCGCGAAAGCGUGGGGAGCGAACAGG